UUAAUUGAAACCAAAAUAGAGGUUUAUUACUGUUAAUAAUAAUAUUGAAAUAAAUUCCAAUUAAA
rnacentral:tRNA from 1 species